rnacentral:snRNA from 1 species
UAAUUACCACCGAGCGGCGGGU